rnacentral:tRNA from 1 species
GGAUAAUAGUUAAUUAUAACAUUUAAUUUGCAUUUAAAAAGUAUUGUACUACAAUUUAUCUUA